rnacentral:tRNA from 1 species
GCCCGGGUGGCUCAGUCGGUUGAGCGUCCGACUUCAGCUCAGGUGAUGAUGUCACACUCCGUGGGUUCAAGCCCCGCGUCGGGCU